AUUGAACGCUGGCGGCAGGCCUAACACAUGCAAGUCGAGCGGAUGACGGGAGCUUGCUCCUUGAUUCAGCGGCGGACGGGUGAGUAAUGCCUAGGAAUCUGCCUGGUAGUGGGGGACAACGUUUCGAAAGGAACGCUCAUACCGCAUACGUCCUACGGGAGAAAGCAGGGGACCUUCGGGCCUUGCGCUAUCAGAUGAGCCGAGGUCGGAUUAGCUAGUUGGUGGGGUAAUGGCUCACCAAGGCGACGAUCCGUAACUGGUAUGAGAGGAUGAUCAGUCACACUGGAACUGAGACACGGUCCAGACUCCUACGGGAGGCAGCAGUGGGGAAUAUUGGACAAUGGGCGAAAGCCUGAUCCAGCCAUGCCGCGUGUGUGAAGAAGGUCUUCGGAUUGUAAAGCACUUUAAGUUGGGAGGAAGGGCAGUAAGCUAAUACCUUGCUGUUUUGACGUUACCGACAGAAUAAGCACCGGCUAACUCUGUGCCAGCCGCCGCAGUAAUAC
rnacentral:rRNA from 1 species